ACUCAAAGGAAUAGACGGGGGCCCGCACAAGCAGCGGAGCAUGUGGCUUAAUUCGAUGCAACGCGAAGAACCUUACCUAGGCUUGACAUGCACGGAAAUCCUCCAGAGAUGGGGGGUCCUUUUAGGGUCGUGCACAGGUGGUGCAUGGCUGUCGUCAGCUCGUGUCGUGAGAUGUUGGGUUAAGUCCCGCAACGAGCGCAACCCUCGUCCUAUGUUGCCAGCACGUGAUGGUGGGGACUCAUAGGAGACUGCCGGGGUCAACUCGGAGGAAGGUGGGGAUGACGUCAAGUCAUCAUGCCCCUUAUGUCUAGGGCUGCACACAUGCUACAAUGGCCGGUACAAAGGGCUGCGAUGCCGUGAGGUGGAGCGAAUCCCAGAAAGCCGGUCUCAGUUCGGAUCGGGGUCUGCAACUCGACCCCGUGAAGUCGGAGUUGCUAGUAAUCGCAGAUCAGCAAUGCUGCGGUGAAUACGUUCCCGGGCCUUGUACACACCGCCCGU
rnacentral:rRNA from 1 species